CGCAGACCCUCUUACAGAGUGAACCUUGUCUUCUCCUGUGUUCUCUGUUAUUUGUGUUGAAGAAAUACUCAAAAGCUUUUUCAUCGGAAGCUGCAGGUUGGUUCCUUGUUUUGUUUUUCAUCAAGCUCUUGAUACAACGAAAGAUCACCACCGACUGACGGGAUGGGGUUUGGCGCACCAGGGUUCCCCACAUCUGCGAGCGGUGGCCCCCUUCGCCUUCUGUUCGACAGUUUUGGUCAAUACUGCCACAACUUCACUGAGGGGAAUAGCGGCUCAGGAAAUGGAGCUCAAUCUAACAAACCUAAAUCUGAAGAACAAGCAGCAAAAAGUGAAAAAAUAAGAGAUACAGAUUCAUCUGAAUUGGAAAGAGAAUUCGACGUGGGAGCCAGUGGAAUGUAUAAAGAUGUCGUCAAGAACAACAGGAAAUUCUCCAGGGGCCCAGGGAACCCUGGGCACAAGGGGGUAGUUGAAGCGGAUCACAUGCCACCCAAGGACUCCCUGAAGAAAGCUGCAAAAGAGCCUUUGAUUUGGAUAUUGGGAGAAAGCGAAAAAUAUGAGGGGCUUUUGAAAAUGUUGCAGACGAAGGAUCCAAAAGGGAGAAAUCUCUUCACCCUACAGGUCCUCACGGGCCAACACAGGACGGCUCUGACAACCGGCAACAGUAGAGAGUCUGUGGCCGUCAGGGCUGUUCUCGCAAAUGCAUUUGCCACAGGACAAGUGGUGUCAGCGCUGAAGCUAACAUUUUUGGUCAGCCACCCAAUUUCUUCCAUGGAAUUAAGAGAAAAAGCAGGAAUUCAGAGGGAUCGCCCGGAAGUAAGAUUUGGAAGGGAUAGAGCAAUGAGAACCUACUUCAAUGGCUUUGUGGACAUGAUAAAUUUUUUCUCUGUUAGAAAAAUCAUCGAUAACGAAGAAGUGGUUGAGCUGUGUGAGCAUAUCACAAAUCAUUAUGACGUAGAUGGCGACUUUGACAGAGAUUCCCUUGAAUACGAUCUUCUCAUUGAAGCCAUUAUAGAAUCAAAAAAAUAGUGGUCUUUCUCGAAUUUAGCUUUGGAACUUAUCGGUUGUUGACCAGAAAAGAUUGUUAGUUGCCAUCAAAGUAUAAUGAUAAUUGCUUUUUAACAAACUGAAGAUGUGUGUGUGACAAUGACAAAGGUAGCCUACUUUAAUCUAAAAAUGUAAACAUUUUCACCAUGAAGUCUAAAAGGAAGCUUGUAUGGCCCUUUCCUUUAUUGUAUCUUUGUGCAAUCCUACAAGUUAAAUUAUGUGUUAAAUUUGCAAUGGCAUUUCACCGCUUUCAACUACUUGGCGAGUUAUAAGCUUUAGCUAUAUUUAUUUAGUAUAUGCUACACGUGAACCUCCUAAGAUGGCGCAAUUUGAUUGGUUUGCUACCUUUGGAUAUUGGGCAAUAUCCCAUGAUUGAGAUCUCAAACGUGAGAUGUUGUUUUCCUCGCAAAAUGUCCGUCUCGUCACGCUAAUAAAAACAAACAAAUCCUGGCAAAAAGUGUUAUCUUGUUUAUUUUUGGACUAUUCACUAUUUGCACUAUUCACUUCUCCUUCGGCGAAUAAUUGUUAAAUAUUCAGAGCGAUAUUUUGCACCAGAAUCUGUUCACGGUAAUAUUAAUAAAUACUACCAUGAACAGAUUCUGGU
ensembl:lncRNA